UCCUACGGGUGGCUGCAGUGGGGAAUAUUGCGCAAUGGGCGAAAGCCUGACGCAGCGACGCCGCGUGGAGGAUGAAGGUCUUCGGAUUGUAAACUUCUGUUAAGUGGGAAAAAAGACUCGUUUUUAAUAGAGACGAGGGAUGAUUGUACCAUUAGAGAAAGCACUGGCUAACUUCGUGCCAGCAGCCGCGGUAAUACGAAGGGUGCGAGCGUUAUUCGGAAUCACUAGGGCGUAAAGGGUGUGUAGGCGGUGUAUUAAGUCUAUCGUUAAAUUCCUCGGCCUAACUGGGGACCCGCGAUGGAUACUGAUAUGCUGGAGGUUGGAAGAGAGGAGUGGAAUUCUCGGAGUAGCGGUAAAAUGCGUAGAUCUCGAGAGGAACACCAAUUGCGAAGGCAGCUCCUUGGUCCAUACCUGACGCUGAAACACGAAAGCGUGGGGAGCAAACAGGAUUAGAUACCCUGGUAGUCCACGCCGUAAACGGUGGGCGCUAGGUGUGGGGAACAUUCCACGUUCUCCGUGCCGCAGCUAACGCAUUAAGCGCCCCGCCUGGGGAGUACGGCCGCAAGGCUAAAACUCAAAGGAAUUGACGGG
rnacentral:rRNA from 1 species